AGAACGAACGCUGGCGGCAUGCCUAAUACAUGCAAGUCGAACGAACUCUUCGGAGUUAGUGGCGCACGGGUGCGUAACGCGUGGGAAUCUGCCCUUGGGUUCGGAAUAACAGUUGGAAACGACUGCUAAUACCGGAUGAUGACGAAAGUCCAAAGAUUUAUCGCCCAGGGAUGAGCCCGCGUAGGAUUAGCUAGUUGGUGAGGUAAAGGCUCACCAAGGCGACGAUCCUUAGCUGGUCUGAGAGGAUGAUCAGCCACACUGGGACUGAGACACGGCCCAGACUCCUACGGGAGGCAGCAGUAGGGAAUAUUGGACAAUGGGCGAAAGCCUGAUCCAGCAAUGCCGCGUGAGUGAUGAAGGCCUUAGGUUGUAAAGCUCUUUACCCGAGAUGAUAAUGACAGUAUCGGAGAAUAAGACCCGGCUAACUCCGCGCCGAGCAGCCGC
rnacentral:rRNA from 1 species